rnacentral:misc_RNA from 1 species
UGCGUUUGUAGCUACUGAGUAAUUUUCGAACAAAACUAGCUAUGCAAACUUUACUCUUGCCGGCGGUUCGCCCCGGCAUCGGAAGUGCGCCAUCAGUUCAUCCACCGGCCGGAAAACCAUGGCGGAGCAGUUUCCUCCGAUGCCCAAAUACCCUAAUUCCGUCCACCUCAUCGUUACCUUUUUCCCCUUUGAAAACAGAUCCUCUUAGUUCGCCUCUAUUCAGACUCAUCAGCAAAAGGAACAGAAUCUUGGCUUCUGCUCCUGUUUCUUCACCCUUCACUUCCCCAAAUGAAGAGUCCGAAAAAGCUAAGUUAGCUCAGGUUGCCAAAAGACUACUGAAUACUGCAAGUUACUUCAAGAGAUUGGGUACUCUAGGAUUUUGGGGACAGCUUGUAUGUACGCUUGUUGCUGCGGUGAUCCUCUCGUUUUCCAUAGCAAUUACGGGGAGAAUUACGUCGCCCUUCACAUUCUACUCAACUGCGGGCGGAAUUGCAGCUGCUUUCAUUUCAGUUUUUUGGUCAUUUGGCUAUCUUCGUUUGUCUGAAAAGCUUCGGAAGACAGCUAAUGACCCUUCAAAGGCUCCUCCUCGUGCUGAUGUUGUGAAAAGCUUGCAAAAUGGUAUUGUGGUGAACCUUCUGGGACUGGGUGCCGCUAUACUUGGCAUGCAAGCAACUGUAGGUACAUUGGUGGCUAAGGCUCUUACCACAUCAACUAAUCCUUACCAGACUUUGACUCCCGGGAGCAGCCCUGUGCUUGCUUUGGAUGUAUUUCUGGUUCAGGCAUCAGCAAAUACGAUCGUUUCACACUUUCUAGGUCUAGUAUUUUCACUGGAGCUGUUGCGGUCAGUCACCUUACCAACUACAGACAGCAUUCCGGUUCCAAGGAUUGCAUGACGUGCUUGGAAAAUCAACAUCAUAAUACUCGAGAAAGCUUCAGCCAUAUGCUUUUGAGAUCACAGCCAUGUAUUUACUGUAAUAUGAGUGACCCUCUCUCCUUGGUGACUUGAAUUAAAAUAAUUUUUGUUUCUCCAAUAUCUGAGAGGCUUCUGAUAAAAAUUUCAAUUACUGUCAUUGUAUUUGCUUUCUGGGGCAUCUUUAAGAAAGGGGGGAAUUGUUUCCCACCAGUUAAAGACUCCUCUCACAAUCCUAACGCCCUCUUUAGCUGUGUUA